AUGAUUCAUUCAAAGAGGCUUGCUCAGCUGGCCCAGAAGUGGCAGAGGAAGGUGGCGGCCGGAGCUGGUGGCCAGCAGACCCGCGAGUGCUGCAGCACGGUCGCUGACAAGGGCCAUUGCGUGGUGUAUGCUGCUGAUGGGGCACGGUUCGAGGUCCCGCUGGCAUACCUCCGCACGACAGUCUUCGGCGAGCUCCUGAGGAUGUCCGGGGAAGAGUUCGGCUUCGCGAGCAGCGAGAGAGGCAGGAUCAUGCUGCCCUGCGAUGCCGUGGUUGUGGAGUAUGUCUUGUGCCUGGUCAGGAGAGACGCCUCCAAGGAGGUCGAGAGAGCGUUCUUGAGCUCCAUUUCUGGGCAUUGCCAUAGCCAGGAUGCAUCGGUGGGACUCACCCAUAAAGUUGCGCUUUGUACAUAG
rnacentral:rRNA from 1 species